UUAGUUCGUGGAAUGAUUUGUCUGGUUGAUUCCGAUAACGAGCGAGAUCUUAACCUGCUAACUAGGCGAGUAAAUCACGAUUUGCUACGUCCUUCUUAGAGGGACUUUGCGUGCUAACGCAAGGAAGUUUGAGGCAAUAACAGGUC
rnacentral:rRNA from 1 species